rnacentral:rRNA from 1 species
UGGGGAAUAUUGGACAAUGGGCGAAAGCCUGAUCCAGCCAUGCCGCAUGAGUGAAGAAGGCCUUUGGGUUGUAAAGCUCUUUUAGUGAGGAAGAUAAUGACGGUACUCACAGAAGAAGUCCUGGCUAACUCCGUGCCAGCAGCCGCGGUAAUACGGAGAGGGCUAGCGUUAUUCGGAAUUAUUGGGCGUAAAGGGCGCGUAGGCUGGUUAAUAAGUUAAAAGUGAAAUCCCGAGGCUUAACCUUGGAAUUGCUUUUAAAACUAUUAAUCUAGAGAUUGAAAGAGGAUAGAGGAAUUCCUGAUGUAGAGGUAAAAUUCGUAAAUAUUAGGAGGAACACCAGUGGCGAAGGCGUCUAUCUGGUUCAAAUCUGACGCUGAAGCGCGAAGGCGUGGGGAGCAAACG